AUGGACUUUGUUAUCUUUGAAAAUGUGAAAGAUAUCAAGCACAUUGGCACCGAGAUGGUUUUGGUGGCGACGCUAACGGUCAUCGAGAGGUUCAUCGACUGGACGAUGUCGUGGCUGCCGAUGUACGGAGAGGCGAAGCUGCUGCUCGUCCUCUACUUCUGGCACCCCAGCACACGGGUAAGGACUCGACCAGACACCCCAAGCCCGAGAGAUGAUCAACAUUUGGAUACACUUGAUUCUGCACGAGGACGACAUCGACUGAUGCCUGUUGGAGCUGAAGGCCAGGGUAAGAGACGUGACAGCAUCGCAAAUGAAGGCGACGGCUGCCGUCGAUCAGGGGUGGCUCGUCGACGCUGCCCGGUGUGUUUUGUUGCAGCUGCAGGCCACGUGAUCAGGCUGGGCAGGCGCCACACAUUGACGAGUGAUCCAAUUUUCAGAUCCGACCAUAACAACUAA
rnacentral:rRNA from 1 species